rnacentral:rRNA from 1 species
UUUUUWACGGAGAGUUUUGAUCCUGGCUCAGGACGAACGCUGGCGGCGUGCUUAACACAUGCAAGUCGAACGAUGAGGGCCCGGGCUUGCCC